rnacentral:rRNA from 1 species
UAUCUCUGUAGAGUCUGCAUAUCAAUAAGCGGAGGAAAAGAAACUAACUAGGAUUCCCUCAGUAACGGCGGGUGAAGCGGGAAGAGCUCAAAUUUGAAAUCUUCAAGGUUUUACCUUGACGAAUUGUAGUUUAAAGAAGUGUUUUCUGUUGGAUGUUUUGGUAAAAGUUCUUUGGAAUAGGACAUCAUAGAGGGUGAGAAUCCCGUAUUUGACCAUUAUUUCCAGCUUUGUGAUACACUUUCAAAGAGUCGGAUUGUUUGGGAAUGCAGUCCAAAAUGGGUGGUAAAUUUCAUCUAAAGCUAAAUACUGGCGAGAGACCGAUAGCGAACAAGUACCGUGAGGGAAAGAUGAAAAGAACUUUGAAAAGAGAGUUAAACAGUACGUGAAAUUGUCAAAAGGGAAGCGUUUGACACCAGUGUUGUUUUCUCGAAAAUCAAUUAAAAAGUGCUUGGAUUUUGUAUUGUUAAUUGACCUUAUAAGCUUUCUUCACUUUUUUCAUGUCUUUUUUAAUGCACUUUUCGUUUAACAAGUCAACAUCAGUUUCUUUUGUUGUAAAAAGGUCAUUGGAAGGUGGCUUUCUUUUCGGAGAAAGUGUUUAUAGCCUUUGACUCCUGCAAUCGGAGAGACUGAGGUCUGCAGCGUAGAUCCUUCUGGAUUAGAUUCAUUUGUGCUAAGUUACAACCGUUUAUAGACAACUUGUUGACUGUAUUCGAUCCUGUAGCUUACUCGCUUAUGUAAUUUUACCUACGCUUAGGAUGUUGAGUCAUCACACAUCUCU